rnacentral:rRNA from 1 species
GAACGCUGGCGGCAUGGUAAGGCAUGCAAGUCGAAUGCAUUUAGUUGCAUGGCAAACGGGGUAGUAACAGGUAGGAACGUACCCUCUAGUCGUGAAUAACCCAGAGAAAUCUGGAAUAAUACACGAUGGUCUCGCAAGAGUAAAGAUUUAUCGCUAGAGGAGCGGCCUGCUUAGUAUCAGCUUGUUGGUAAGGUAAUGGCUUACCAAGGCUACGACGCUUAGGGGAGGUGAGAGCCUGACCCCCACCAUUGGAACUUAGACACGGUCCAAACUCCUACGGGAGGCUGCAGUCGAGAAUCUUCCGCAAUGUACGAAAGUAUGACGGAGCGAUGCCGCGUGGUAGAUGAAGCACUUCGGUGCGUAAAUACCUUUUAUGAGGGAGGAAGUUUAUUGACGUUACCUCAUGAAUAAGGGGCUCCUAAUCACGUGCCAGCAGGAGCGGUAAUACGUGAGCCUCAAGCGUUACCCGGAUUUACUGGGCGUAAAGGGUGUGUAGGCGGUGUUAUUAGUCGUUUGUUAAAGUCCGGAGCCUAACUCCGGGAAGGCGAGCGAAACGGUAACACUAGAGGAUGGUAGAGGUGUGUGGAACUCAUAGUGUAGGGGUGAAAUCCGUUGAUAUUAUGGGGAACACCAAAAGCGAAGGCAACACACUGGGCCAUUUCUGACGCUGAGACACGAAACCUAGGGUAGCGAAUGGGAUUAGAUACCCCAGUAGUCCUAGGCCUAAACGCUGUCCGUUAGCUUUAGAGGGAAUCGACCAUCUC